rnacentral:tRNA from 1 species
UCCCUGAUGGCUUAGAUGGUGAAGUCUCUGCCUGCAAUGCAGGAGAUCCAGGUUCAAUCCCUAGGUGGGGAA